rnacentral:tRNA from 1 species
GGGUCGUUAGCUCAGUUGGUAGAGCAGUUGACUUUUAAUCAAUUGGUCGCAGGUUCGAAUCCUGCACGACCACU